AUCGAACGCUGGCGGCAGGCUUAACACAUGCAAGUCGAGCGGAGAUGAGGUGCUUGCACCUUAUCUUAGCGGCGGACGGGUGAGUAAUGCUUAGGAAUCUGCCUAUUAGUGGGGGACAACAUUCCGAAAGGAAUGCUAAUACCGCAUACGUCCUACGGGAGAAAGCAGGGGAUCUUCGGACCUUGCGCUAAUAGAUGAGCCUAAGUCGGAUUAGCUAGUUGGUGGGGUAAAGGCCUACCAAGGCGACGAUCUGUAGCGGGUCUGAGAGGAGGAUCCGCCGAAGUGGGACUGAGGCACGGCCCAGACUCCUACGGGAGGCAGCAGUGGGGAAUAUUGGACAAUGGGGGGAACCCUGAUCCAGCCAUGCCGCGUGUGUGAAGAAGGCCUUAUGGUUGUAAAGCACUUUAAGCGAGGAGGAGGCUACUGAGACUAAUACUCUUGGAUAGUGGACGUUACUCGCAGAAUAAGCACCGGCUAACUCUGUGCCAGCCGCCGCCGUAAAAC
rnacentral:rRNA from 1 species